rnacentral:rRNA from 1 species
GAGCAUCGGAGCAGACUAACUAGGAUUCCCCCAGUAACUGCGAGUGAAGAGGGAAGAGCUCAUCAUUGGAAUCUGGCAGCGUCUCGCUGUCCGAGUUGUAGAUGAGAAGAGUGGGCCAUCUGGACUGCAUGGUGUCCAAGUACAAUAGGCCGUCAGUGGGACAUCAUAGAGGGUGACAAUCCCGUCCUUGACACCAAUGUACGAGUCCUUUUACGAUGCCUAUCUCGGAGAGUCGAGCAGUUUGGGAUUUGCUGCUUAAACAUGGGAGGUAGAUUCCUUCCAAAGCUAAAUACAGGCAAGAGACCGAUAGAGAACAAGUACCGCAAGGGAAAGAUGAAAUAGAACUCUGUGAAGGGAGUCAAAAGACGUGAAAUUGUUGCGAGAGAAGCGAUUCAAGUCAGCGUAGCUGGGCCCAUCAAGCCUCGCGCUUUGGACCAGCUUUGCCAGCGGUCUUGUCCUAGAGACUCGACUAAGGUGCCCUGCCCGGUCUGACGGGCAGACCUUCCCCCCUGGGGGAGGCCAGCGGCACGGCUGGUGGAAUGGCUUGCAAUCGACCCGUCUUGAAACACGGACCAAGGAGUCUAACAUGCAUGCGAGUAUAAGGGUGGCAAACCCGUAUGCGCAAAGAAAGUGAUAGCCUUUACGGCUGUGAAUGACCUGAUGACCAGACAAGCGAUAUCAUGUCCCUCGUACGGUCAUUGCCCAAGUCCCGUGGUCAGAUCCCAUGGACAUGGAGUUGGAGCGUGCAUGCUAGGACCCGAAAGAUGGUGAACUAUGCCUGGACAAAGCGAAGCCAAAGGAAACUCUGGUGGAGGCUUGUAGCGAUUCUGACGUGCAAAUCGAUCGUCUGAUCUGGGUAUAGGGGCGAAAGACUAAUCGAACCAUCUCAUAGCUGGUUCCUGCCGAAGUUUCCCUCAGGAUAGCAGAGACGUUGUGGAAGUUGCAUGUGGUAAAGCGAAUGAUUAUUGACCCUGGGGCUCAAAUGGACCUCAAUCUAUUCUCAAACUGUGAAUGCGUGCGGUUGGACUGUGCUUUGCGUAGAAGCCCUGCCAGCAAUGCUUCAGUCUCUAGUGGGCCGUUUCUGGUAAGCAGAACUGGCGAUGCGGGAUGAACCGAAAGCGAGGUUAAAGUGCCAGAAUGCACACUAACCAGAGAUAAAAGGCGUAUGUGCAUGGACACAGCAGGGCAGUGGCCAUGGAGGUCGGCAUCUGCUAAGGAGUGUGUAACAACUCACCUGCCUAAUGUACUUGCCCUGAAAAUGGAUGGCGCUCAAGUGUGUUACUCAUACCUCGCCAUCAGUCUCAGAACAAAAGAACGGACUGAUGUGUAGGCAGGCGUGAAGGUCAAUCUUCGAAGCCUAGGAAGCGAUCCACUAACGUCAAU